AGCUCCAAUAGCGUAUAUUAAAGUUGUUGCAGUUAAAAAGCUCGUAGUUGGAUUUCUGGUAGGUUGCGCCUGGCCCGCCUCGAUUAGAGUGUGAGUGCCGGUGCGCGACUGCCAUCCUUCUAGGGAACGUUUCUACCCUUCACUGGGCCGGACUCGCGAUCUAGAUCUUUUACUUUGAAAAAAUUAGAGUGUUUAAAGCAGGCUAUUGUCUUUGAAUAGAUUAGCAUGGAAUAAUGACUUAGGACUUCGGUUCUAUUUUGUUGGUUUCUAGUACUGAAGUAAUGAUUGAUAGGGAUAGUUGGGGGUGCUCGUAUUCAGCGGCCAGAGGUGAAAUUCUUGGAUUCGCUGAAGACGAACUUAUGCGAAAGCAUUCACCAAGGAUGUCUUCUUUAAUCAAGAA
rnacentral:rRNA from 1 species